UACGAGGGGGGCAAGCGUUGUUCGGAAUUAUUGGGCGUAAAGGGCGCGUAGGCGGUUUGACAAGUCUGAUGUGAAAUCUAUGGGCUCAACCCAUAGCCUGCAUUAGAAACUGUCGGGCUUGAGUAUGGGAGAGGUGAGUGGAGUUUCCGGUGUAGCGGUGAAAUGCGUAGAUAUCGGAAGGAACACCUGUGGCGAAAGCGGCUCACUGGACCAUAACUGACGCUGAGGCGCGAAAGCUAGGGGAGCAAACAGG
rnacentral:rRNA from 1 species